AUUUACAGCAUACCAGUCUGAAAGUGCCUGAUUUCGUCACAUCUCAGAAGCAAUCCAGACUCGGGCCUGGUUAGGAUUUGUAUGGGAGACCAACUAGGAUCCUCAGGUGCCGUAAGCU
rnacentral:rRNA from 1 species